UCAUGGGUGGUUCAGUGGUAGAAUUCUUGCCUUCCCUGCAGGAGACCUGGGUUUGAUUUCUGGCCAAUGUA
rnacentral:tRNA from 1 species